rnacentral:lncRNA from 1 species
AUUUCUUCAGAGAAAUGCAGCUUGGAUUCAUCAAGUCUGAUGAAUUGUGAGAAUUUCUUCUUGCAUGCAACCAUAGGGGAAUAUUACAUACAUUUACACCUGCUUUACUGUAUACAUUUAAACGUGCUUGUAGUCCUGACAGCCAAAGGGAACCUCUCACAUUCCAGUUUGUGACCAGUGCCACCUCUCACCAAACAGAGGAGCUGGUCCUUCUUGGAAAACUGUGGCUCCAGGUCCUGGUGUGGAAAUGAAGCACGUGAUGGCCGAGAGGUGAUGGCUCAGCCUCCUUUCCGCUCCUCAGCACCCCAUCAGCAUGCUGCCUGGGGCAGGACACCUCUCAAGGCACUUGGUUUCCUCUCGUCUCUGCUGGUCAUCCUCAGGAUGGUACCAUAUUGGCUUGCUGCAUCUUCACAUCCCCUGGCUCACUGGUAUCUCCACCUUCUCGCCAUCUAAAAGCAGAUGCAGUUUCUCUGGCUGCUGGCACACACCCCAUACCUCCAGGAGGGGCAUGUUUUCCUGUGGGUACAACUACACAAGGACUAGCACUGCUGAUGGCAGGCAUUGCCGUUUGUUCCUCAGCCCCUUGAAAGCAGAGCCCAACUCAUCAGCGGCUGAUGCAGGAGCAGGAGGGGUUUGGAGUUAA